UACGUAGGGUGCGAGCGUUGUCCGGAAUUAUUGGGCGUAAAGGGCUCGUAGGCGGUUUGUCACGUCGGGAGUGAAAACUCAGGGCUCAACUCUGAGCUUGCUUUCGAUACGGGCAGACUAGAGGUAUGCAGGGGAGAACGGAAUUCCUGGUGUAGCGGUGAAAUGCGCAGAUAUCAGGAGGAACACCGGUGGCGAAGGCGGUUCUCUGGGCAUUACCUGACGCUGAGGAGCGAAAGUGUGGGGAGCGAACAGG
rnacentral:rRNA from 1 species